rnacentral:rRNA from 1 species
GCGGCAUGCCUUACACAUGCAAGUCGAACGCGAAUUUGUCUUCGGACAUUAGUAGAGUGGCAAACGGGUGAGUAACGCGUGGGAAUAUACCUUAUAGUACGGAAUAGCCUCGGGAAACUGGGAUUAAUACCGUAUACGCCCUUCGGGGGAAAGAUUUAUCGCUAUAAGAUUAGCCCGCGUCAGAUUAGCUAGUUGGUGGGGUAACGGCCUACCAAGGCAACGAUCUGUAGCUGGUCUGAGAGGACGAUCAGCCACAUUGGGACUGAGACACGGCCCAAACUCCUACGGGAGGCAGCAGUGGGGAAUAUCGGACAAUGGACGCAAGUCUGAUCCAGCAAUGCCGCGUGAAUGAUGAAGGCCUUAGGGUUGUAAAGUUCUUUAAGUAGGGAAGAUAAUGACGGUACCUACAGAAUAAGCACCGGCUAACUUCGUGCCAGCCGCCGCAGUAA